GAGUUUGAUCCUGGCUCAGAACGAACGCUGGCGGCAGGCUUAACACAUGCAAGUCGAACGCCCCGCAAGGGGAGUGGCAGACGGGUGAGUAACGCGUGGGAAUCUACCGUACCCUACGGAAUAACGCAUGGAAACGUGUGCUAAUACCGUAUACGCCCUACGGGGGAAAGAUUUAUCGGGGUAUGAUGAGCCCGCGUUGGAUUAGCUAGUUGGUGGGGUAAAGGCCUACCAAGGCGACGAUCCAUAGCUGGUCUGAGAGGAUGAUCAGCCACAUUGGGACUGAGACACGGCCCAAACUCCUACGGGAGGCAGCAGUGGGGAAUAUUGGACAAUGGGCGCAAGCCUGAUCCAGCCAUGCCGCGUGAGUGAUGAAGGUCUUAGGAUUGUAAAGCUCUUUCACCGAUGAAGAUAAUGACGGUAGUCGGAGAAGAAGCCCCGGCUAACUUCGUGCCAGCAGCCGCGGUAAUACGAAGGGGGCUAGCGUUGUUCGGAAUUACUGGGCGUAAAGCGCACGUAGGCGGAUAUUUAAGUCAGGGGUGAAAUCCCGCAGCUCAACUGCGGAACUGCCUUUGAUACUGGGUAUCUCGAGUAUGGAAGAGGUGAGUGGAAUUCCGAGUGUAGAGGUGAAAUUCGUAGAUAUUCGGAGGAACACCAGUGGCGAAGGCGGCUCACUGGUCCAUUACUGACGCUGAGGUGCGAAAGCGUGGGGAGCAAACAGGAUUAGAU
rnacentral:rRNA from 1 species